UGUGGCCUACGGGGCGCAGCAGUGGGGAAUAUUGGGCAAUGGGCGCAAGCCUGACCCAGCGACGCCGCGUGAGGGAAGACGGUCUUCGGAUUGUAAACCUCUUUCAGCAGGGAAGACAAAAGGACGGUACCUGCAGAAGAAGCCACGGCUAACUACGUGCCAGCAGCCGCGGUAAUACGUAGGUGGCAAGCGUUAUCCGGAAUUACUGGGUGUAAAGGGUGUGUAGGCGGGGGUGCAAGUCAGAUGUGAAAAUUAUGGGCUCAACCCGUAAAC
rnacentral:rRNA from 1 species